CCCCGCUCCACGCACCGCCCCCGGCUGGGCCCCACGGCCCCAAGCCCGCCCCUGGAAGCCCCGCCCCUGCCCGGGACACACCCCCGGACGGAGGAUCACGAUUGGCUGAUGAGGGAGGGGCGGGGCCGGGCUCCGGGGGGCGGCUCGGAGCGGGUCCACCUCCUGCUCCGCGGGCACGACAUUGAGGGGGAAACCGAGGCUGGAGAGGCAAAGGGACUCCCAAAGGUCACCUGGCUGGCGGGCAAAGCGCUGCGAGGGAACGCACCGGCGGGCUGAGGGUCCGCUCGGGGCGGGCGCACGCGGAGGUCCCGCUUGGUGACCUGAGUGUGAUGAGCCAGUCUGGACCUCGGAGCCUGCGCCCGCGAGUCUCGGAAUCACGCAGGCACACACCUGGAGCUGCUGGCCCAGUGUUAUCUGCCAAGUGCCAGGGGAGUCUGAUUUCAAUGUUCUGAAGGAUUCCAACCCUAAGGAGGCCUCACUCUGCACGGAGAUGACGGGCAGGGGCCAGCCAGGUGGGGGAUGGCGACAUAAGGCAGAUGUGGGCCCUCAAGCGUGUGGAACAGAGCCUCCUCUUUCCCCGUGGAUUCUCUCUCUGCAGUUUCACUUACCUGUGCUCAGACCACCUUGUGAUGUUCAUUUCCCUGUCCUGUGUCACCACCCGAGAUGCUGACCCAGAAUCAUCACUCCUGAAGACAGGCCGGUGCUCCCUCACGUGACCCUCUGUCCCUGGGCCGUCUGCCCUCACAGAAGGCCUCUGCCAGCUCCCUGGGCACUUUGAACUUGAGCACGAAGCAGCUAG
rnacentral:lncRNA from 1 species